rnacentral:lncRNA from 1 species
UUGUACCGUUCUAGGUACAACUCAUAUCAAUGUUUUUCAUACAAUAUGAAAUACAUAAAUCACCUUUCUGCGCAUGCAUAAAGGAUUCUAUUUACGCAUUAUUUCUUUGGGAGUCAAAGGGUACGUUCCCUUUGAGAAGAGGCAACUUGCUAGUCUCACUAGAGUCGUCCUUCUAUUGAAGUUUAUCAUCAUAUGAGAAACUUCCUAGCAUCUUUUGUCUAUUAUUAGGGAUUGAUAUAAUCCAAUUAUAUCAUGAAAUCUAUCAUUAUAGAUUUCCAUCCCAUGUAUAUAGACUAUAUCUCCCAUAUACAUUCUAUCUUUAUAGAAUGUUUAAAGUCAU